rnacentral:tRNA from 1 species
UCUUUCAUAGCUUAGUUGGUUAGAGCACCCGUUUAGUAAGCGGGAGGUCAUGAGUUCAACUCUCAUUGAAAGCA